rnacentral:rRNA from 1 species
AGCGAACGCUGGCGGCAGGCUUAACACAUGCAAGUCGAGCGGGCCCUUCGGGGUCAGCGGCGGACGGGUGAGUAACGCGUGGGAACGUGCCUUCUGGUUCGGAAUAACUCAGGGAAACUUGAGCUAAUACCGGAUACGCCCUUUUGGGGAAAGGUUUACUGCCGGAAGAUCGGCCCGCGUCUGAUUAGCUAGUUGGUGGGGUAACGGCCUACCAAGGCGACGAUCAGUAGCUGGUCUGAGAGGAUGAUCAGCCACACUGGGACUGAGACACGGCCCAGACUCCUACGGGAGGCAGCAGUGGGGAAUAUUGGACAAGGUGCGCAAGCCUGCGCCAGCCAUGCCGCGUGAGUGAUGAAGGCCUUAGGGUUGUAAAGCUCUUUUAUCCGGGACGAUAAUGACGGUACCGGAGGAAUAAGCCCCGGCUAACUUCGUGCCAGCCGCCGCAGUAA